AUUGAACGCUGGCGGCAUGCUUUACACACGCAAGUCGAACGGUAACAGGGUGCUUGCACCGCUGACGAGUGGCGAACGGGUGAGUAAUGCGUCGGAACGUGCCGAGUAGUGGGGGAUAACGCAGCGAAAGUUGUGCUAAUACCGCAUACGUACUGAGGUAGAAAGUGGGGGACCUUCGGGCCUCACGCUAUUCGAGCAGCCGACGUCUGAUUAGCUAGUAGGUGAGGUAAAGGCUCACCUAGGCGACGAUCAGUAGCGGGUCUGAGAGGAUGAUCCGCCACACUGGGACUGAGACACGGCCCAGACUCCUACGGGAGGCAGCAGUGGGGAAUUUUGGACAAUGGGCGAAAGCCUGAUCCAGCCAUGCCGCGUGUCUGAAGAAGGCCUUCGGGUUGUAAAGGACUUUUGUCAGGGAGGAAAUCCCUAGUGCUAAUAACACUGGGGGAUGACAGUACCUGAAGAAUAAGCACCGGCUAACUACGUGCCAGCAGCCGCUGUAA
rnacentral:rRNA from 1 species